rnacentral:rRNA from 1 species
AUUGAACGCUGGCGGCAUGCCUUACACAUGCAAGUCGAACGGCAGCACGGGGGCAACCCUGGUGGCGAGUGGCGGACGGGUGAGUAAUGCAUCGGAACGUGCCCUGAAGUGGGGGAUAACGCAGCGAAAGCUACGCUAAUACCGCAUAUUCUGUGAGCAGGAAAGCAGGGGAUCGCAAGACCUUGCGCUUUGGGAGCGGCCGAUGUCGGAUUAGCUAGUUGGUGGGGUAAGGCCUACCAAGGCGACGAUCCGUAGCGGGUCUGAGAGGAUGAUCCGCCACACUGGGACUGAGACACGGCCCAGACUCCUACGGGAGGCAGCAGUGGGGAAUUUUGGACAAUGGGCGAAAGCCUGAUCCAGCCAUGCCGCGUGAGUGAAGAA